AACGAACGCUGGCGGCAUGCCUAACACAUGCAAGUCGAACGAGACCUUCGGGUCUAGUGGCGCACGGGUGCGUAACGCGUGGGAACCUGCCCUUAGGUUCGGAAUAACUCCCCGAAAGGGGUGCUAAUACCGGAUAAUGUCUUCGGACCAAAGAUUUAUCGCCUUUGGAUGGGCCCGCGUUGGAUUAGCUAGUUGGUAGGGUAAAAGCCUACCAAGGCGACGAUCCAUAGCUGGUUUGAGAGGAUGAUCAGCCACACUGGGACUGAGACACGGCCCAGACUCCUACGGGAAGCAGCAGUGGGGGAUAUUGGACAAUGGGCGAAAGCCUGAUCCAGCAAUGCCGCGUGAGUGAUGAAGGCCUUAGGGUUGUAAAGCUCUUUUACCCGGGAUGAUAAUGACAGUACCGGGAGAAUAAGCUCCGGCUAACUCCGUG
rnacentral:rRNA from 1 species